rnacentral:tRNA from 1 species
GCCUGGGUGGUUCAGUCGGUUGAGCGUCUGACUUCGGCUCAGGUCAUGAUCUUGCAGUCUGUGAGUUGGAACCCCACAUCAGGCU